GGUGAGUAACGCGUGGGAAUCUACCCAAUUCUUCGGAACAACACAUGGAAACGUGUGCUAAUACCGAAUGAGCCCUUCGGGGGAAAGAUUUAUCGGAAUUGGAUGAGCCCGCGUUGGAUUAGCUAGUUGGUGGGGUAAAGGCCUACCAAGGCGACGAUCCAUAGCUGGUCUGAGAGGAUGAUCAGCCACACUGGGACUGAGACACGGCCCAGACUCCUACGGGAGGCAGCAGUGGGGAAUAUUGGACAAUGGGCGCAAGCCUGAUCCAGCCAUGCCGCGUGAGUGAUGAAGGUCUUAGGAUUGUAAAGCUCUUUCACCGGUGAAGAUAAUGACGGUAACCGGAGAAGAAGCCCCGGCUAACUUCGUGCCAGCAGCCGCGGUAAUACGAAGGGGGCUAGCGUUGUUCGGAUUUACUGGGCGUAAAGCGCACGUAGGCGGACUUUUAAGUCAGGGGUGAAAUCCCGGGGCUCAACCCCGGAACUGCCUUUGAUACUGGAAGUCUUGAGUUCGAGAGAGGUGAGUGGAAU
rnacentral:rRNA from 1 species